rnacentral:rRNA from 1 species
GACGAACGCUGGCGGCGUGCUUAACACAUGCAAGUCGAACGGAAAGGCCCUGCUUUUGUGGGGUGCUCGAGUGGCGAACGGGUGAGUAACACGUGAGUAACCUGCCCUUGACUUUGGGAUAACUUCAGGAAACUGGGGCUAAUACCGGAUAGGAGCUCCUGCUGCAUGGUGGGGGUUGGAAAGUUUCGGCGGUUGGGGAUGGACUCGCGGCUUAUCAGCUUGUUGGUGGGGUAGUGGCUUACCAAGGCUUUGACGGGUAGCCGGCCUGAGGGGGUGACCGGCCACAUGGGGACUGAGGUACGGCCCAGACUCCUACGGGAGGCAGCAGUGGGGAAUAUUGCACAAUGGGCGGAAGCCUGAUGCAGCAACGCCGCGUGCGGGAUGACGGCCUUCGGGUUGUAAACCGCUUUCGCCUGUGACGAAGCGUGAGUGACGGUAAUGGGUAAAGAAGCACCGGCUAACUACGUG